GGCGAACGCUGGCGGCACGCCUCAUACAUGCAAGUCGAGCGAUCGGACGCUGGGUGCUUGCACCCGGCGUUACGGAGCGGCGAACGGGUGAGUAACACGUGGGCAACCUGCCUCGAAGACCGGGAUAACCCCGGGAAACUGGGGCUAAUACCGGAUGUGCUCGUUGGAUCGCAUGGUCCGGCGAGGAAAUGGUCCUUCCGCUUCGAGAGGGGCCCGCGGCCUAUCAGCUUGUUGGUGGGGUAACGGCCUACCAAGGCGAUGACGGGUAGCCGGCCUG
rnacentral:rRNA from 1 species